UCUAUUUUGUAUUGCUUAUAUGAUUUAUGAGAUUGAUCACUGUUCGUUAUCUUCACCUUUCACUUUCCAUGCGUGAUGAAAACCUUAUCGUAAACAUUCAAAAUGGGGGUGUUCUAAUGGUAACAGGCAUUCAACAUUGAAAUAUAGGAUAAUUGGAAGGGGAUAGGUCACUGGUAAAAUCUAAACAUUACAAUGGAAGUGUUCGAGUGAAAAUCAGCUGGGAUAUACACAGUAUGAGGCAGUCAGAGGAUUCAUUGAUCAAUGUUUAUUAUCUAUAUUUAUGUUCCCAACAUUUGAGAACAAAUUGUUUUCUAGAUUGAUUUUGUCUGUUUUUCUUAUUUUUCUCCAGUAUUAAUGUUACCAAACUUGUUUCGAUGGAUCAAGGUAAAACAUUCACGGAUGUUUGGUGGUGGUCUGUAGAUAUGCAACACUGAUCUCAUUUUUCACUCCACGUCUGCUAAAUUCUUAAUUGGAGGAUUUUAAGUUCACCAUAAAUUUAUCAUAAAUGAUCGAAAAUUGUUGAAUUUAUACUGCUAAAUGACAUGAACAAAAAUGCUGAGUCAUCCUCACGUGCGCAUUUAUGCACGACCAUUGUUUUCCUUUCAAUUUUAUGGUGCCAUAAUGUAAAACUUAUACGGUACCAAUUUUGAUGCACCAGAUGCGCAUUUCGACAAAUAAUGUCUCUUCAGUGAUGCUAUCUUUCUAAUGAAAGAAGGAAAUAAACGAACGUUCGUUGCAGGUUAAUUACAAGAUAUUUACAUUUACUUCAUGUUCUUUAUCAGAAAAGUAUUAGAUAACUUUGACUGACAUCUACACAUAAAUGCAAAUACCCAAUCACUAACGGUAUGCUGGGAGUAAGAAUACAAGAACUAUAUAUUGUUUACAAACAAACGUCUGUUUGUCUAUAAGCAUGAUCUUUGGGAACUUCGAUGUUUUGGAUCUGGACUUCCUAAAUUUUAUUUUUACCGAAGAUGAAGAUGGUCAGUUCCUGAAAGUUAUUAACUUGGAUUAUUUGAAUGAAUCUACAGCAGUAUAAACAGGGGUUAAAAUUAAAACAAUUUGUAUCAGUUUCAACACGGAACAGUGAGUAUCAUUAAUAACAAAGAAAAAUCAGUAAAAGAAAUGCAUAAGCAAACAAGAUAAUCUACUUCUUCUAUAAGUCUUUAUUGCAUUUUAAUAGGAUGCACAUACGAAAAGGUUUAAACAAACCUUGAGUGAAGAAAUGGAGAAACCAUUUGAUGACGAUGAUAAUAAUAAUGCUUUAGUUAGAAAAUGUAGUCCGAUUAGUACAUGGUGCUAUUCUUCCCCGGUGCCUUCUGAAAUACGAACAAUAUACUCAUACUGAUACAUACAAUCAAAACUUUGAAGCCAGACAGGUCCCUAAUACCAAAGAAAUACUUCAUGAGGACUAAAACUCUUUCAAGAAUGAAACCUGGAAACAAAUGGUUGACCCCUCACCCUGGUUGACUGUUUAGGACACUUUGAUUGCGAGGCAAGAUUACAACUCAAAAUGUCGACCUCAAAUAAGUCCUAAAAUGAGAAGCAACUCUAUAAAAAAAAAAUAGCAGCCUAAUCAAUCGGUACCGAGCAGACUUGAAGAGCGAUAUGAAUGUGGUACAUGAUAAAUAGUUCAAAAUGGCCACCGACAUUUUGCACGGCUUGUUCAAAGAAAGAACAAGGUUAGAAUUAUUUUCAUUUCUUUGGAAACGAGGGGAUUAUUUGUUAUAUCCAUACUGAGAGGAACAAGCGCAUUCACAGAAAUACAAUGCGUAUGGUGAGAAAAUAAACUGAAGACGUUAGAUUUGUGAAGAUAACGAAGAGUGAUCAAUAUCAUAUUAUAACUCCUAUAAGCAAUACAAAAUAGAGAGUUGGGCAAACACGAACCCCUAGAUAUAUCAGAGGUGGGAUCAAGUGCAUAGGAGGAGUACGCAUCCCUUGUCGACCGGUCACACCCGCAGCGAGCCCUAUACUAAAAGCGAGACAUGUCACCCUUUUGUGACAUCUAAAUGUUUUACAAAUGAGGUGACGCAUGCGCGUAAGUCAUUGCUUAUCUUGGAGGCGAAUUUGACAGCGAGAUAUUGUAUUAUUUGAAAUGACUACGAUUAUUGUUGAUUUUAGUGCGGAAUAAGUGAGUAAUAAGCGUUUGUGGAUUGAUGUAUGUAAGCUUAUGAACGAUUCGCAUCAAAUGUAACCUGAAAUGAAUUCGAACCGAAGCACGACUUUCUCCCCUUAUACUUUAUGAAGACUUGGACAGAUACGAGGGGAUAGGAAAGAUCGAAUAUAAAUAACCCUCCUCUCGUUUCCUCAGAAAUUUGGCCCACAAAACACAAAGAGGUCAUUGAUACUGAGGAGUUAGAGAAAAUUUAUAAAAUUUAGAAAUUCAUUUCAAAAUUAAGGAUUAUCUCCCUCAUGCAUAGCUCUUAUCCUUGGACGAAUUUGGCUCCACUUUUUUUGGCACGCUGUUUUUGGCUAUAUUUAGCUCUCAAACUUCAUAGUUAUUUCGGAUUUCAAACAAUUCGGUUGAGCAUCACUGAAGACACAUUAUUUGUCGAAAUGCGCAUCUGGUGCAUCAAAAUUGGUACCGUAUAAGUUUUACAUUAUAAUUACAUCCAAGGGGCAGAGGCAUCACCUGUCUUACUUCACCAAGCUGUGUGGUACUUCCUCGCAGGUCACUUUGUCUUCUAGAGGAAUAGAACCCUAUCACCAGAUCAACUAGCUUACAAAUCCAUCAAGAUAACACUAGAAUGUAUGUAACAUUACAACUUGAAAUUCUACAGAAAAAUAGUCAUAAAGGCAUUUCAUCUGAUGAUCGUCACCGCACUUACAAGAGGGUUUAUGCCACAGGUUUCAGUAUUUUUGCCCUAUUAAGUUUUGAAACUUUUGAUAAACAAUACCCUAUAGGAAUGUGACUCAUCUCGUUAAAAAAUAUUACAGAGAUACUCUCAUGGAUACUAUUACAUCGUUUUCCACUAAGUCUCUUUCAAAACUCACCUUUGCAACUUUCCUAUAAAAUAUGUAUUGCUGCUGCGGUUACAAUAUUUCAACUAUGAAAGGUGAAGAUAACGAACAGUGAUCAAUCUCAUAACUCUGAUAAGCAAUACAAAAUAGAUGGUUGGGCAAACACGGACCCCUCGACACACCAGAGGUGGGAUCAGGUGCCUAGGAGGAGUAAGCAUCCCCUAUCGACCGGUCUCACCCGCCGUGAGCCCUAUAUCUUGAUCAGGUAAACGGAGUUAUCCGCAGUCAAAAUCAGUGUGCCAAGAACGGCUUAACAAUCGGAAUGAAACACGUCAGACAGCAUUUGACCCAUUCUUUUAUUCUUCUUUCAGCACUUGCACCUUCAAUUUCACGAAGUAAUCAACAUGGUCGACAGGGACUUGAUUACGAAACAACAUUAUAGCUAUGCUUAUUGUGGUUUCAUGAGUUUGAACUCAUUUAAUCUGUUUUGUAUUAAACUUGUAUUAAUAUUAAUGUCUUUUAAAAACAAUAAAAGAAUUGGAAAUUUGAAA